GUGCUCACUUUGGCAUCACAUAUAAUAAAAUUGGAAAGAUACAGAGAAGAUUAGCGUGGCCCCUAUAUGAGUAUGACAUGCAAAUUUACGAAGCGCUCCAUAUUUUU